ensembl:snRNA U1 U1 spliceosomal RNA
AUAUUUACCUGGCAGGGGAGAUACCAUGAUCAUGAAGGUGGUUUUCCCAGGGUGAGGCUUAUCCAUUGCACUCUGGACAUGCUGACCCUGGGAUUUCCCCCAAAUAUGGGAAAGCUGACUGCAUAAUUUGUGGUAAUGGGGGCCUACAUUCAUGCUCUUCCAUG